UGCAAAUCAAUAUAAAUUGAAUUUAAAAUUUAUUUAUUAAUUUAUUUUUUUUUAAUUUUUAAUUUAUUUUUAUUAAAAAUAAUUAUACAAUUAAUUUGUUUUAGUAAUUAUUAAUGAAAAAAUAACUUUAAUUAUAGUUUAUUUGUAUUGUAAAAGGUUAUUGAAAUAUAUUGAAAAAUUUUUAUUGAAUAAGAAAAAUUUAAUUUUUGUACCUUGUGUAUCAGGGUUUAUUAAAUAAUUAAUAAUUAUUUUAUUAAUCUCGAUUUUAUAAGAGUUAAUAAUUUAUAAAAUUUAAUGUGUCAAAAUUAUUUUUAAUAAAUUGUUAGAAAUGAAAUGUUAUUCGUUUAUAAAUGUAUCUAGUUUUUUUAGAAAUAAAUUUAAUUUAUAAAUUUUUAAUUUAUUUAUUAAUUUUUAAAUAAAUAAAUUUUUUAAUUUAAGUAUUUUAAGGGAUAAGCUUUAAAAUAAAUUGUUAUAAAUAGAAUAAUUUAAAAAUUAAAAAUAUAUGCUUAGAAUUAGCAAUUAUUAUUAAUUUUGUUAAAAAUUAUUUAUUAAAAUAAUAAUAUUUAUUUAUAUUUUAAUUUUUUAUAAAAAUUUUUGUGAAAAUUUUAAUUAUAAAUUAAUAAUGAUAAAAUUAGUAUAUAAUAAAAUGUAAAAAUAAUUUUUAUUGAAAAUUUUAUAUAAAGAACUCGGCAAAUAUUUUACUCGCCUGUUUAACAAAAACAUGUCUUUUUGAGUUAAUUUUAAAGUCUAACCUGCCCAAUGAAAUUUUUAAUGGCCGCAGUAAAUUAACUGUGCAAAGGUAGCAUAANCAUUAGUCUUUUAAUUGAAGGCUUGUAUGAAUGGUUGGACGAAGUAUAANCUGUUUCAUAAAAAUUUAUAAUAGAAUUUUAUAUUUUAGUAAAAAAGCUAAAAUUGAAUUAAAAGACGAGAAGACCCUAUAAAUCUUAAUAGUUUUUAUAAUUUAAUUUUUAUGGAUUUUUUAAAAUUUAAUUAUAAAAAUUAUUUUAUUGGGGUGAUAUUAAAAUUUAAAAAACUUUUAAUUUAUUUAUUUCAUUUAUUUAUGAUUUAUUGAUCCUUUAUUAAUGAUUAAAAGAAUAAGUUACUUUAGGGAUAACAGCGUAAUUUUUUUGGAGAGUUCUUAUUGAUAAAAAAGUUUGCGACCUCGAUGUUGGAUUAAGAAAUAUUUUAGGUGUAGUUGCUUAAAUAAAUAAGUCUGUUCGACUUU
rnacentral:rRNA from 1 species